GGCCAUGAUAACUUUUACCCUCAAAGUGUU
rnacentral:piRNA from 1 species